rnacentral:rRNA from 1 species
UGCGAGUGAAGCGGGACCGGCUCAAUGUGUGAAUCUGGCUUGGGGUAGAUCCCUGGUCCGAGUUGUGCACUAUGGACGUUUCGUCUGCGUUUGUAAUGGCGGUGGAAGUCCGUUGAAACACGGCACCUCAGAGGGUCACAGUCCUGUACCACCUGCCUGCACUCGCGCCAAUGACAAGCGCUCCUCGAGUCGCGUAGUUUUGUAAUGCUGCGCCAAGUGGGAGGUAGAGACCUUCUAAGGCUAAAUAUGAUGACGUGACCGAUAGCACACAAGUACCGCGAGGGAAAGGUGAAAAGCAACCAUGAAAAAUGGGUUGAAACAGUAGUGAAAGCGCUACCGGGAUAAGGGCUAUCGGGUGCUGGGGCUUCUUGGGUGUGCUUCAGUGCUACCCUUGGAGACGGCCCGCGUGGGUUGAUGUUGGGGCGAUAGACGCGCCGUUGGAAUUCAGCUGUCUUCGGGCAGUGUUGUAGCCUUCGGUUGCCGAUCCUCCUGCGAC